GUCUUCCCUUCCUUCUCUCUCUUCUUAUGGCACAUGGGCUGCUGCAGUGCAGAAAGGCUUGGUGUGUCCAUGCUGGCUGGACAAGGACAAUGAGGGUAUGGCCAUAUUCCCAGAGGGGAGUUUGGGUCAGCAUGACCCUGUACAGUGAGGGUAGCUCACUCUGCUCACAGACUGAACACAGGACCUUCUGCCUGCGCCCCCACCCUCCAUCUCUGGAGAAUGCUGGCCUCUCUUAAGUCAAGACCGAGAUGCCCCAGCCCCUGGCAAUAGAAACUGUUCACCCUGCCUGCCUGAACCUGGAGUUUUCCAAUACCAUGCAUGAGGGCUAGUUAUGUGUCAGGGGCCAUUUCAUGCCUCACCGCAUUGUCUCUGAGCCUCAUGGUCACCCUGCAAGUAGAGAGUUUACUCUGGCUGAUGACCAAACAGAAAGCCAGAGAUUGGAAGCACAAGAAGGAUUUGACACAUCAUUGAUGGCUUGAAGAUCUAGGGGCCCAAGUGGCAAGGAAAGUGGCAGUUUCGAGUAGCUGAGAGCAGCCUCCACUCCACGGCAGCCAGCCAGAACAAGGACUUCAGUCCUAUGGAUGUAACAAGAAGAAACUUAGAAGUCAGCUUUUCCCCAGAGCCUCUAGGCAAGAACUCAGCCUUGUGAGACCCUGAGCAGAGAAUUCAGCCACGCUGUGCCAGACUUCUGACCUACAGGACUGUGAGAUACUAAAUGGAGGCAGUUUUAAGCUGCUAAAUUUAUGAUAAUAUGUUUCACAGCAACAGAAUAUCAAUACACUCCCCACAUCGCAUGGUGGCUGGCAAGGACCUCCACAAAAUGCCAACCUCUGAGGAUCCCCAUAAAGACACCUGAAUUAGAUUGUCUCUGCCAUCUUUCAUGGCUGCAAGUUUCUACAUUCCCCCCAACAUUUCAUGUCGUUCUGAGAAUAGCUUGAUGGAAACCAUAUUUGAAGCUGUGAGCUGUAGAAAGUCUCCACUUCUUGUUUGUUUUUUUUGUCUAGUGACUUGUGGGCCAUCAGAAAGAAGUGUGAAUUGCUAAGUAAUAAUUGUAUAACAUGGAACAGGGUAAUAAACAUUUUUCAGGGUUUGGUUGGUCCGAGAAUAUGGAAAAUGUAUUGGUAGUCAGUAGAACCAAGUUACAUGUCACCCUUGGGUAGGCAGCUGACUGGAUGAGGCAGUUUACCGCCUAACUAAAGCUCUAAUCUCAGAAUGUCAGAGUCUCCUUUGUUCUGGCCACCCCAAGAUGAAAUUACAGCCAAGCAUUAUGUUCAGAGAAUAGUCAGCCCACCUAGGCCACUUACACCAAGCCAAGAAUGAGAAGAAUUUGGCCAAGGAAGCUGGUGGAGUCCAUCUUUAUCCAUUGUGUUGUUCUCUUUGAGUGUCCUCUGAUGCAAAGGAGGAAAUUCAUGGUGACUUUAAAUGUCACCAGUGUUUCAAUGAAAACAGGAAUAUUGCCUAUGGAAACACUUCCUGACUCAGAAAAAUCGUUACGACCUCCAAGACCCUAAUUAUCCCAGGCGGGUCCCAACACUCCCUUGGUGGAACUACUUCACAGUAGGGAAAGAGAGCAUAAUAGUCAGAAACUUGGAUCUGAUUCUUAUCCCUGCCACUCACUAGCUGUAUGCCUUAGGUAAGUUGCACAAAUUCUUUGAGCCUCAGUUUCCUCAUCCACAGGGAUGACUAAGAAUGCCUUCCUAAAUAGGAAUAAUAGUGCUCACUUCAUAGAGAUCUAGUGAAAAUUGCCUAAGAUCACAUGCAUAAAAGAUCUCAUACAGUAUUCAAUAAAUGUCAAUCAUAGUAGUAGAAGUUAUAUUUUUAUCAUAUUUGUCCUUUAACAGUUUCCGUAUUGGAAACAGUUCUUCCAUUCUAGGGGAAAUUUAUCAUUCUGCCUCUGACCUGGUCUUCAUUCCUGAAGAAUUUAUGGAGUUCCUACUGAGAUAGCCAGGGUUCUCCUGGUAAUCAAAAUAUUAUAAAUGACCUAUAAGAAAUAACCCUUUUUCUCUAGGAGCUCAUAUUUUUAUAUUAAAAAGAUAUGCAGAUUAUAUAAGCAAAAUGGAAUAAGUUAAAGUAUCAACCACAAAUUGCUGCAACAAUCUUUGGUAUCAUUUAUCAUCAUCAUAAUUAUUAUUAUUACUAUGAGUAGCUGAAGAAUAACCACAGGAUUCAGUGUUUAAUAUGCAUUCUUAGGCCAGGUGCAGUGAAUCACGCCUGCAAUCCCAGCACUUUGGAAGGUCAAGGCCGGAGGAUCACUUGAAGCCCGGAGAUUGAGAUCAGCCUGGGCAACAAAGUGAGACCCUAUCUCUACAAAAUAUUAGCCAGGUGUGGUGGCAUGUGCUUGUAGUCCCUGCCUCUGGGGAGGCUGAGAUGGGAGAAUUGCCUGAGCCCGGGAGGUCAAGGCUGCAGUGAACUGUGAUCAAGCCACUGUUCUCCAGCCUAGGUGACAGAGAGAGACCCUGUCUCUUAAAAAAAUGCAUUCUUGGCCAGGUGCAGUGGCUCACACCUGUAAUCCCAG
rnacentral:lncRNA from 10 species